rnacentral:rRNA from 1 species
UACGAAGGGGGCUAGCGUUGUUCGGAAUUACUGGGCGUAAAGCGCACGUAGGCGGAUCGAUCAGUCAGGGGUGAAAUCCCAGGGCUCAACCCUGGAACUGCCUUUGAUACUGUCGAUCUGGAGUAUGGAAGAGGUGAGUGGAAUUCCGAGUGUAGAGGUGAAAUUCGUAGAUAUUCGGAGGAACACCAGUGGCGAGGGCGGCUCACUGGUCCAUUACUGACGCUGAGGUGCGAAAGCGUGGGGAGCAAACAGG